AUUGAACGCUGGCGGCAUGCCUAACACAUGCAAGUCGAGCGAGCGGCGGAGGGGUGAGAAAAGUCUGUGAAACCGUCUGAUGGAGCGGGGUAUCUACUGGAAACGGUAUCUAAUACCGCACACCAUCAGAUAUGCCCAGAUGGGAUUAGCUAGUUGUUGGGGUAACGGCUCACCUAGGCGCCGAUCCCUAGCUGGUGUGAGAGGAGGACCAGCCACACUGGGACUGAGACACGGUCCAGACUCCUACGGGAGGCAGCAGUGGGGAAUAUUGCACAAUGGGCGAAAGCCUGAUGCAGCCAUGCCGCGUGUGUGAAGAAGGCCUUCGGGUUGUAAAGCACUUUCAGCAGGGAGGCGUUACCCGCAGAAGAAGCACCGGCUAACUCCGUGCCAGCAGCCGCGGUAAUUC
rnacentral:rRNA from 1 species